CAGCACUAUAAAAUAAUAGCAUCCUAGUUCAAGGUCUACUCUAAUCAAGCUUGCUGUAUUUAAGUUAAUUCCUUAAGUGAGCCAAGAUUGCACCAUUGCAUUCCAGCCUG